CGUUCGUGUCUCGGGCAUGGCCGUUCGUGUCUCGGGCAUGGCCGUUCGUGUCUCGGGCAUGGCCGUUCGUGUCUCGGACAUGGCCGUUCGUGUCUCGGGCAUGGCCGUCUCGGACAUGGCCGUUCGUGUCUCGGACAUGGCCGUCUCGGACAUGGCCGUUCGUGUCUCGGACAUGGCUGUCUCGGACAUGGCCGUUCGUGUCUCGGACAUGGCCGUUCGUGUCUCGGGCAUGGCCGUUCGUGUCUCGGGCAUGGCCGUUCGUGUCUCGGGCAUGGCCGUUCGUGUCUCGGGCAUGGCCGUUCGUGUCUCGGACAUGGCCGUUCGUGUCUCGGACAUGGCCGUUCGUGUCUCGGACAUGGGGAUGACUCUUGUCAGGUCAGAGGAUGCUCAAUGGUUACAAUGUUUUCCUGCUGCGCCUGUACUCAGCACUGUCUGUCUGUCUGUCUGUCUGUCUGUCUGUCUGUCUGUCUGUCUGUCUGUCUGUCUGUCUGUCUGUCUGUCUGUCUGUCUGUCUGUCUGUCUGUCUGUCUGUCUGUCUGUCUGUCUGUGGUGAUUCUUUGUCUCUGCCUCUGUUCGCUGUAGCACCAAAUAAUGCUAAAUGGUGCUGAAUAAUGAUCAGAUGUUUUCUAUCCCAGCACCUCCAGAGGUGAAGCAGCCCUUUUUUAGCAUUUUUCCGCCCGGUGGGCCGUGCCUCCUGCAGGUAGCUGGCCCAAUGGGCUGAUGGGUAUUCAGGGGGGGAGAGGACGCACGCUGGGACUGCAAAUGAGACACGCAUUCAUGAGCAGGCAGAACUGAACUGCCUGACUACUCUGCACAGCAACAAUAUGAUGAUGAAACGCUUUUUUUUCUCUCCCUCGCUCUCUCGCUCUCCUGAACGCUGCAACGCUGAGUGGACCGAUCUCUCUUUCUAGUCAGGCUACGAGACUUUCCCCCUACUAUCUUCUAUGUGCCGAUUGGACAAUGGAAAGUGACAGGAAAGACCAUUCGGGGUCACUGAACUGUUCUGCUGGUGUACGAAAACAAACCGUGAUGCCAAUACACUGAUUCUCUUCACCCUGCUCCCUUUAAGCAUGUCUGUGUACCACAGGAGAGGGCCAGCUUUCGCCCCCCCUACCCCUCAGAACAGGUUCUGUUCUGACCCCUCCUCUACACACCCUGCACAGUGUUCUCUUGAUCAGGUUGUGUUAUGUGCUUUUCCUCUCUCUGCAGUUCAGACACACACCUCUACUGUGUACAUGAAUAUAAUAAAAAAAUAUAUGAUCUUACGUUUUCUUACUUUCUCUUCCUGCUUCAGUGUGCAGUUGACCUUAAGUGGCGUGGCUUGGAACCGUUGUGAAUGCACUGACUAGAUCCCUCAAAUUCAAAUGUGGACCUCAAAGCCAGUUCCCCGCUGCUUUUUUCAUGCUUCCCCUCCAACCAGGGACUGCAAUGAAUUAUCAGGUAGAAGAGGAAAGCAGAAGUAUUGCGGACCUCGUGGGGUCAGAGUUGAAUGCUCAUGUACUAGACCAUGUACAUGAGCAAGUCUAGAAAAUGCAUUUGAAUAACACAGAGAUGGCACUUAUCCAAUGUGCCUCUAUCAACAGUUGACUGCAUUUAAUGAGCACGUAUUAAAAAAAAGGCCUGAAGAUGAACUUCCCAUGCGCCGAUUCUCUGCCCUAGUUCCGACAUGGCGAUACCGUGUUGAAGCAGUGGCAGUGAUGAUGAUGAGGAUGAUGAUUGAAACACUACAUCAGGUUUAAUGGCCGUUGUCAGUGUGUGGUUAAUGAAAUCACUGCGAUGUAUUUCGGCUUUUUCUCAGUUCUCCUCAGUCGUACAUUCUCCAGUGCAUUAUUAAAUCAUUGAAGAGCGACUACAGAACUACCGAACACUGUGGUCACGUUGAGGGGUUGGUUGUUUAGCAACAAAACCGAGGCGUGUGAGAACAGACAGGGUUGGCUUAGGCUGUUGACAACAUGUAAACUAUAUUUUGUCUCCAAAUGUUUAUUGAAAACAUAAAUACAUUUGCACAAUGAGCACUUGUUGUCUCUCAAAUACAUUAUUACAGUUGUAAGUCAGCUAGCGAGUGAAUUUUUGCCAUUUUAGCAUAGACAUGACAUCAGUCAAAGCACCUCAAAACAAGACGUGGUAUCAAUAACAAGAUGCAAGUAGCUGAAACGAGUCCCACAUGAUUCCCCACACGCCAGCUUCUUGUCAUUGUUGCUCGCUAUCCGACGGCUCAGAAUCAUAACAGCGCACGCCUUCCGGCCACAUUGGUGACGUUGUCAGCUAAACCGCACACA
ensembl:lncRNA